rnacentral:lncRNA from 1 species
AUUUCUGUUUUUUUUUUGGUUAUAGAUGGACACAAUGCCUUUAUUUAUUUAUAUGUGGUGCUGAGGACUGAAGCCAGCACCUCACAUGUGCAAGGUAAGUUCUCUACCACUGAGCCACAACCCCAGCCCUGCUUAUUUAUUUAUUUAUUUAUUUGUAGUGCUGAGAAUCGAACCCAGUGCCUCACAUAUGCUAGGCAAGUGCUCUACCAAUGAGCUACAACCCCAGCCUCUUGAUUUUAUUUUCGUAGAUGGUGUGAGGUUCAAUUUUUUUCCUAUGGAUGAACAUUUAUUCCAACACCAUUUUUUAAAAAAUUCUAUCCUUCUUCCAUUGAAGUUUGUUACACCAUUUGUAAAGUCAGUUGAGUGUACUUGUGCUGGUCUGUUACUCAUUUCCCUUGAUCUGUAUCUGUCACUCCCCAAGGAUCCUACUGUCUCAAUUUACUGUAUCCAAUAUUUUAACUUGCAAUAAAGAUAUUCCCCCAGUUUAUUCUUCUCUUUAAAAGUUGUUUUAACUAUUCUAGUUGCUUUACCUUUUCCUAUAGGUUUUGUAAGCUUGCCUAUAUUAAUGAUAAAUCUUGGUAAUAUUUG